GAGCAUUUACCGAAAACUCACUAUUUUCGUAGGGGGGUUCACAUAGAUUUUGAAAAAAAAUUCAAAAAAUUUGACAAUACUGUUUUAAUACAUAUUUGAAUUAUGUAAUAACAUAUGAUGAAUUCAAAGAGGUUUGGAACCUUUGUUGUCUCCGUUUCUCUAAGGAAUAACAAUUUUAUAAGGGUUAGUCCAAUGCUUAAGGGAGUAUUUGAAGUUUUGCAAAAUUAAUGGAUAAAAAAUUAGAACGAUGUCCAUGUACCAUGAAUAGGAGUUUAUCAUACAUUAAUAAAAAUGUAUAAUGUGGUUUUAAAUUUUAAAACAAAUUUAAAGAUUAUAGGCUUCAAUAUAUAGAGCAUUUACCGAAAACUCAUUAUUUUCGUAAGGGUUAACAAAUAGAUUUUGAGAAAAAAUCAAA